rnacentral:rRNA from 1 species
AUUGAACGCUGGCGGCAGGCCUAACACAUGCAAGUCGAACGAGUGGCGGACGGGUGAGUAAUGUCUGGGAAACUGCCUGAUGGAGGGGGAUAACUACUGGAAACGGUAGCUAAUACCGCAUACCAUCGGAUGUGCCCAGAUGGGAUUAGCUAGUAGGUGGGGUAAAGGCUCACCUAGGCGACGAUCCCUAGCUGGUCUGAGAGGAUGACCAGCCACACUUGAACUGAGACACGGUCCAGAGUCCUACGGGAGGCAGAAGUGGGGAAUAUGUCACAAUGGGCGCAAGCCUGAGACAGCCAGGCCGCGUGUGUGAAGAAGGCCUUCGGGUUGUAAAGCACUUUCAGCGGGGAGGCGUUACCCGCAGAAGAAGCACCGGCUAACUCCGUGCCAGCAGCCGCGGUAAUAC